rnacentral:rRNA from 1 species
GAGUUUGAUCAUGGCUCAGGAUGAACGCUAGCGGCAGGCUUAAUACAUGCAAGACGAACGGUAACUUUUGUAGCAAUACGGAAGCAAGAGUGUCGUACGGGUGCGUAACACGUAUGCAACCUACCUUGUACAGGAGGAUAGCCCGGGGAAACUCGAAUUAACCCUCCAUAACGUAGUGGAGAGGCAUCUCUCUACUACUAAAACUGAGGUGGUACAAGAUGGGCAUGCGUCUGAUUAGUUAGUUGGCGGUGUAACGGACCACCAAGACGAUGAUCAGUAGGGGACCUGAGAGGGUGAUCCCCACACUGGCACUGAGAUACGGGCCAGACUCCUACGGGAGGCAGCAGUGGGGAAUAUUGGACAAUGGGUGAGAGCCUGAUCCAGCCAUGCCGCGUGCAGGAAGAAGGCGUUAUGCGUUGUAAACUGCUUUUGCCAGGGGAUAAAACGAGCGUGCGCGCUUAAUUGAAGGUACCAGGUG